GACGAACGCUGGCGGUGUGCUUAACACAUGCAAGUCGAACGGUGAAGCGCCAUCCUUUUUGGCGGGCGGGGAUGGGUGGCGAACGGGGGAGUAACACGAGAGGAACCUGCUCCUUCCUGCUGGAUAACCGCAUGAAAGUGAGGCUAAUACGGGAUACGACGUGCCUGUGGCAGCAUGGGUCUGGGAAAGAUUUUGUUUCGGUGUGGGAUGGGCUCGCGGCCUAUCUGGUUGUUGGUGGGGGGACGGCCUAACAAGGCGGUGAGGGGUAGCCGUGAUGAGAGGGUCGGCGGUAAUACAGGUGCUGCACGGUGGAGACGACUCCGACAGGCAGCAGCGGUGAAGAAUAGUGCACGAGGGGAGCAAGGCUGAUGCAGCGCCGCCGCGUGGGGGAUGGCGGCCGGCGGGUUGUGAACCUCUGUCGCGAGAGAAGCAGAGCUGCCUCGUUUGUGGGUGGGUUGACGGUAGCUAGAUAAGAAGCGCCGGCUAACUACGUG
rnacentral:rRNA from 1 species